AACCAUAGAAACCUGCGGAGUACCUGCGGAGGGAUCAUUAACGAAUAACUAUGGUGUUGGUUGUAGCUGGCUCCUCGGAGCAAUGUGCACGCCCGCCAUUUUUAUCUUUCCACCUGUGCACCGACUGUAGGUCUGGAUACCUCUCGCCUCCGGGCGGAUGCGAGGGUUGCUCGUAAGGGCUUCCCUUGAACUUCCAGGCUCUACGUCUUUUUACACACCCCAAUAGUAUGAUGCAGAAUG
rnacentral:misc_RNA from 1 species